GCUCUGCGGUAGAUCCGUAGGUGUACCUGCGGACGCUUGUUGCCACGGGGGGAAGCCCGCUCCCGGUAAAACGGGACGGCCCGCCAGAGGACCCCUAAACUCUGUUUCUAUAUGUAACUUCUGAGUAAAACCAUAAAUAAAUCAAAACUUUCAACAACGGAUCUCUUGGUUCUGGCAUCGAUGAAGAACGCAGCAAAAUGCGAUAAGUAAUGUGAAUUGCAGAAUUCAGUGAAUCAUCGAAUCUUUGAACGCACAUUGCGCCCGCCAGUAUUCUGGCGGGCAUGCCUGUUCGAGCGUCAUUUCAACCCUCAAGCACAGCUUGGUGUUGGGACUCGCGUUAAUUCGCGUCCUCAAAUUGAUUGGCGGUCACGUCGAGCUUCCAUAGCGUAGUAGUAAAACCCUCGUUACUGGUAAUCGUCGCGGCCACGCCGUUAAACCCCAACUUCUGAAUGUUGACCUCGGAUCAGGUAGGAAUACCCGCUGAACUUAAGCAUAUCAAUAAGCGGAGGA
rnacentral:rRNA from 1 species